CGACGUCGGUUCCUCUUCCUGCCCGCAGCUCGGCAGGAGGAUUUUACGAUGUCGCAGAUCAAGCGGGUUUCUUUCACCCGGGAAGCUGCCGGCUUCAGGACGAGGUCCAGACGGCUUCCCGGUUUUGCGGGACCCGACAGAC